rnacentral:tRNA from 1 species
CCUGGUGGCUCAGAUGGUAAAGCACCUGCCUGCAAUGCGGGAGACCCAGGUUCGAUUCCUGGGUCAGGA